ACAUUCCGUCUUUUUAGUGUCCCUUGUGACAGCCAUAAGGGGGUAUUUUCAUAUUUAUUUUGAUAGACGGUGCGCGAUGCAGGCGAAGGUCGCCUUAAGGUGAGGCAGGCAGGUGUUUUGGCGCCUACAUGAAAGACCUAACGCU
ensembl:ncRNA T04F3.10 ncRNA